UUGUGUUGACUAUUGAACUUUUAAACUUCUUUAAUUGUCGUAUUUUAAUUUCUUUUGUUGUUGAAUUUCAUUGAAUCAAGACUUUUGUUAGUUAUGAUGUACUUGUAUUCUAUAAUUUCAAUGUUAUGACUUUGCAUAAUAGUAUGUGGUUAUUUUUUGAUUUGAUUGAAAAAAUCGAACAAACCGAACCAAACCAAACCGAUUUUAAUUGGUUUGGUUUGGUUCGGAUGACCUUGACAAAAAAACCGAACCAAACCGAACUGCAGUUUAAUUAAACGAUCGGAUCGGAUGGCUUUUCCCUCAAAAACCGAACCAAACCGCACUGCGAACACCCCUACCACCAACUAUAAUAUUCUU